AGGCAGAGCCCCACGGAGCUCCUGCAGGGGGGCACGUUUCACCCGCACCUUCCGCACUUUAGCGGCGCUCCCGGCUCCCGCACCGCCAACCGGCAAAGCAAACCAAAAUACCUGCUCCGGCCACGGGAAGCCAAGGCGCUGCCAGCUGCCGGCGCAGCCCCGCGGCCGAGGGGAAAUGGGCAGAAGCGGCUAUUUUAGCAAUAAUGGCUGAAGCGCCUUCAGUCCGGCUGCUGGGAUGGAAACGCCAAAGAAAAGCUGGAGAGGGGUCUGUAAGCAUGGUGCUUUCCUUCUGGAGCCGGGCAAAGGCUUGGGACCCAAAAGAUGUUCCAGAGCGGUCCCAGGUGCGCUGACCCCGCUGCUGCAGUGGAUCCCUGGCAGCCUGCGGCGCCCUGCUCCUCCUGCUCAUGGCUGGAUUCCCCUGAGUACUUGGCACUAGAAGAAUUUUUUAGGCUCGGCAAUGUUUUCAGAAAUGUUUUCAUUAAAACUGUAGCACUGCAGUAUCCGCACUCAGGAGAGCAAUGAAAAUUUGCUGGAUAUUAAUGUUUCACUGGCAGAAGCUAGUGGUGGCUAGAGCAAGACAAUGAAAUAGAGGACCUGGGAAAGUAACGCUGCUUCUGAUGAAGGGGAGGGAAAAGCUAAUUUAUGGUUCUGACAUUUUCACAUGUUCCCAUGUGAAGCUCUGGUAUGAAGGCUGAAAGGAUCAUGAGCAUUCGGAACUCUCUGUAGGAGACCUCUGCCUCUCCCUGAUCUAACUAUUCAGCACAUAGAUCAGCCAGGGCUGAAGGUUCAAGAUACUGCUGUGUGAAAGGAAAGGCAAACCCUUAGAGCUUUCAGAGGAUCAAACUGCAGCUCAUCUUUGUCUCCUUGGCCAAGUAGGAAGUGAAUAGCCUCUUCUCUUCAUCUUAAAGAUUUCUUAUUGAACUUCAGCCUCUGUGCAUUCUGCUUCAUAGAUAUAUCAAGUGAUGGAUGGUACCUAGUGGUAGGACCUUUGCAGAACUGAGACCUGACCACUUUGUAGUGUCAUAGUAUAAAAUUUAAGAAUACUAUAGUCAAAAUCUUCCAUAUCUGCUAGUGGACCAAAUGUUUGGUGUUUCCUUCAAUGUGAGUUCUGAACUAGAAAAGAGAAACAUGAGACCCUUACUUCAAGGCCACUUCUAACAACUUCUUGUGGUAUAAGAAAUGCAGGUCCAGGUUUCCCCAUUCUGCUCUUCCACUAGGCAACAGUAGCAUCUGCAACUGCAGUAGCAACUGCAUCUCUGGAUGAGAAUCAAACUCUGCAUCUCUGUUCAAGACACUUUCCCUUCUGUUCGUCUGCCUGAGAUUCUUGCAUUAGCUAAAACAGUCAUGAUACAGUCAUCAAACUUCUUUUAAAACAGCCUACACUAGUUUAUCUUAAUUCUGCUAGGAAGCAGUUAAAGGUAAAACAAAAAGGCUUCAGUAGCUGAAAUAGAAAUGGUGGUGUCAGGGAAUGAUUUAAGUUAAACUGGUACGAUGACCGUUUUCAUUAGCCCAGGCUUGAGAGAGUGCAAAAGCUGGCAGUUAGACAGGAGACUUAAUUAAACAUCUGCCCUCUAAGGUUAGGGAUACUGAAAUUUUGAAAACUUUUUUUUUUUUUAUGAGUAGCCUUGGUGUGAAGAAAGAGACCCCAAACAUAGGCUAUAUCUUUUACGAAGUUAAAAAUCAAUUGUCUGCCUGUUAAUAGCCACAUGAAAACAAAACCUCACAGCUAUUCAGGCACUUCAUCUGGACAUCUAAGAGCACUGAAGACAACCGUCUUUAGCCUAACACAUGAGUAGAGUGAGGCCUGGAGUAUGUGCAUGCUCACCCCAAUGCAGGCAUACAGCCUCCUGCAGCUUCCAUUCACCAGGGGACAUGUAACGCGUGCUUCCCUUCACCUGCUCUCAUGCAGGCAGCAUGCCUCAUCUUUCCAACUGUAAUAAAAGAAGUUUCUCCUGGUAUCCCCCUGUGUUCAAUGAGAACACAUAGAGACAAAAAAGGAGGAACCUCUGCAAGCCUGUGGAGUGAGAGGUGUUCCCGUGCAAUGGCGGGGUGGGCUUUGGUGAUGUGGUGUCACUGUGAGUACGGGGCGUGCUCAGGGUGAAUUGUGCAGCAGGAUGUGUACGCCACUGAGCAUCUCUGAAUGUCCAGAAUUUUAUAGGGGAGAAAAUAUCCCCAAAGAGUGACUCCUCCGGCUAUAUGCACUGUCAGAUUUGCUACUUGGGGAAACGGAUGAUCAUUCCUUUUUAUUUUGCUUCGUUUCAUUAUUCCUCCUGAAAGGAAGAGAGUUGUUAUAUGAAAGGUAUUUUUUAUUGUGGUGCUAAAGUGGCAGUUGUUCAGGCAGGUUCACAUCACAGCUUUAGAAAGGUAGCAAUUUGUGGAAUAGUAUUAGCCCAGCUGUAUAAAAUAAGGCCUUCAAAUAGCAGUCAGUCUGGAAACAGAGACAAAGCCAAGGUACACAUUACCCUAACAAUUCAUGUAUAUUUGAGAGGCUGAAUUAUAAAUAAGCAGUUUAAACAACUCUUCAAGAAAAAAAAAAAGCAAGCUUCCAUAACUAUUUUAAAACUAGGUUAGCUUUCAUCUUUUUAUUUUUAUUUCUUCUAUUUUCUUUAUGCCAUGCCACUUCUCAAAGGCUACUGUGCACACACUGCUCUAGUUCUUUCUUUUUCACUACUCUGACGUCUCUUUAGUUGACUGAUAAGUAGUUGUUGAAGAAUUAUCACACAAGCUGUAGUUGCAAUUGUCUGUUGUCAUUAAUUGUUUUUAAAUUAUUCAUCAUAUAAUGAUAUGUUACAACAUUAUUUUUUCUGCUUAACAUGCAAGAAUACAAAACUUAAAAAUCCCUUUGUCGUUUAGACUGUGGGCUCUUCAGUACAAGGACUCUCCUCACACUUCUGCAAAUCAAAUUUUUACAUGCUUGGAGAUGCAUAUUGUUUAUUAUUAUUUUUACUUGCAAUACAAAAAUCAUCUCCAUAGACCAUGGGAAAUUUAAGCUUUAGAAGUCAUCUGUUUAUGAAACGUCUUUUAAAAAAGAUCUUUGCUGCUACUGACUUAAGUUCUGAAAAGCCCGCCUUUACCUUAUGAUUUGUCUCUAGUAAACUUUAGCAAAAUCUAGGUAAAAUAGAAAUAAAACACAUUCUUAAUUAAAAAAAAUAAUAAAAAGGCUUAUUCU